UGUGGGUAAAUGCUGAAUGAUCCAGUGGUUCCAGACAGGAAGUCCAGGACCCCAUUCUACGGCCUGGCAGGUAUAGGAAGUCCAGGACCCCAUUCUACGGCCUGGCGGGUAUAGGCAAAUGGUCUAUACUGGCAAAUGGUAAGUACAGGUGUUAUAUACACAUAUACAUAUAUGGUACAGGAAGACCAGGACCCCAGUCUACGGCCUGGCACGGUUUACUGGGACUAUGUGGUGACGGGUUUACUCUUGAUGUGG
rnacentral:lncRNA from 1 species